rnacentral:lncRNA from 1 species
UACAUUUUUAAUUAAUGGAUAUUUAAGCACGUUGUAAUUAUCAGUGGUUGUAGGUUAUCUCAGACAACAGGUUGCUUGUGACCGCAGUGUAUUAGGUGGUAGCUCUUUAAAUUCUUUGGAAACCUUUUGUGGUGCUCAGUCUCCUGUGACACAGAUUAUCUCAGCUUUCAUUAAAAAUGAGGAGAACAUUUCUAUACUCUCUCCAUGGCAGAAAACCUGGAAAACACGAAGCUGAAAACCACUAAGGCAGUAAAGGACCAGGCCCUGAUUUAAGCCAUUGCGAUUGCUGCAGAUGCUCUUGCGCUGGGGAGGGAAGAGGCUUGAUCGAUGACUUGCAGCAGUUAGGGCAAGCGCUGCUGUUAAGCGACGAGCUCUUGCCAGGAUCUGAGCCAAGGGAGGCAAUGAGCAGCGGAGGCAGAAGAUGUGAACUGCUCUCAUGAAGAACUGGCAGCAGCUCUUAAAAGGGGGGCAGAUGGUGCCAUAGGAUCCCUCAGGACCCCAACUUGUAAAUAGGACGGAUCUUUCUUUGCCCAGCUUAGCCUCAUCCAGCCCAGUGCCACAUGAAGCUUCAUGAGCAAGUAUCCCCCAGGGGAGCUAAUAUCCAUGGUCCAACCUAACCCUCUACCACUUUUCUUCUCCCAGGGUGCAGAGACUCACCUUUUCACCCAAGAAGGGCACUGAGGGUCACCACCUGAAAAUCCGCAGCAUCUCUGGGAGGACCCGCGAGCCUGUGGCCACUGCAGGACAUGACAGUAGCAGUCAGAGUCCUGCCAGUAAAAAUUGGGUUCAACCUGUUUUUGGAGAGGGUGGUACCUGGAUUUACUUCCCACAAAGUAAAGGCUGCACAGAAACAGGACCUGACCUUAACCGAGAGACAAGCCAGGACCUGGAGCAGCCCCAACUGCUUGACACAGGCACAGACACGCCGGCAGCCACUCCUCACCCUGCCUCAGUUUGGAUCGCAGUCAGUUCCUGGGAGAGAAUAG